rnacentral:lncRNA from 1 species
CCCCGAUCAUAUGCAUUGCAUAAUAUAUAUCAAUGUUCGCUUCGUUUAUUUUAUUUAAAAAUAAAUUUAACUAUAAAUGUGAAUCAAGUAGGAUUCGAAUUAGGGAUCUUGGGUACCAACUACCAAGUUCUUUACCACUUGCGCUAGGAACGGUCGGUAUAAUAUAUAUCAGUGUUAGUAUGUGUGUCUGUCGGCUUCGAGUCCGAACCUGA